GUGAAUCAUCUUGACAAUGAAAUAGUGCAUUUAUCAGUUUUGUAAUGGGACAUCACUGCUCAAGUAUCCAGAAGGUAAACUAGAUGUAUUUCUCAUACAUCAAUUGGGCAAGUUUGAGAGAUAGCUGUCUCAAUUUGUCCAGAAAUUUAUUUACCUGUACCUCCACAAGUAAAAUAUUUAUUUAGCCCUCUGUCUUUGUUUUUUCCAUAUUCUAAGUUUAUACCCGAUGUAUAAAUCUACAUAUACUUUCUUACCUUUGUUUAGUUACGAUAAACUUUAUUCAUCAAUUGGGACUAUUUAAUAUUUAAGUGUUGUGGGUGGAUAAUAUAGAUAUGGAUCUAGGGGUUAUUUAGUGUUUUAAGUACCAACAGAGGAGGGCAAUUCAUGCACAUACUUUAGCUUUUUAUUUUGGAUAUAAUAUGUCAGAAUGACAGAGGUCAAUCUCUAGAUAUAGGUUCAGGAGGGGUUAAUUGAAGCCAUUUUUGUAAUGAAUAUGAUGGGUAUUUUUUUAACCAAACAAAAUGGAUUUGAUGGCUAUGGUCUUCUAUGAGGAUUACUGGAUUAGAGUGUACAACUGCAUUGAUUGCUACCAAAAUAGUAUCUAAUCUAAUUAGUAAAAUGACGUAUCUCUUUUUCUGACACGCUUGUGACACUGAGGCUGACUCAAAUAUCUCAUUAAACAACAUGUGCAUGUCUACAUUUAUGUGUAAUGCUCAUGUCGGCUGCACAUAGGCGUUUCUUAGCUUGAUCUGAUGGUGAUCAAUUGAAAAUUGUUGCUGUAGAUUUUCCUGGAGAUCGAAUUGUCCUUUUGUGAUCCUAGGUUUGGAUACAGUGCUGCGAUUUUCUGCUCUCCCACCGUAAGAACACAAGAUGUGGAUAGAGAAUUGUUGAUAGUCUUGGUGUUGCUUGGACUUACUUUUAGUGUCCCUAUAGUGAAUUACUUUCCUGUCUUCAUAGUCAAUUCAAAGCUCCUUACAGACACCUCAUGUUUCACAGUGUACCACAUUUGCAUGUACAUAAUGCGCUCGACCACAAUAAUGUUGUCGUUAAGAGUCGAACGAUGGUUUGUGUUCACAACUGAAACCAUUGGAUUUUGUUUUUGACAUCCUCAAGGAGGAAUUAACCAAGAGCUUGCUGCAGCAAAGAAGGUUGCUUUGCUACUUCUAUGAAUCUUCGACCACAACUGGAACCAUUAUAGGGACUUACUUUUAGUGUCCCUAUAAUGCGCUCGACCACGACUGAAAAUGGUUACUUGAGAUGUCAAAUUCAGAAUCAUGAGUAACCUUGUAAGUUUACCUGCUUAUAUACCUUGCUACCUUUAAAAACUGUGGAAGAGUUAUGGUCAAGUAAGUAUGAAACAAUCACGUUACUGUAAAGAAAUUAUUUCACAUCACUCUUGAACAAGAAUCCCAAGUUUAAGUGUCACAAUAUGAUACUUGCAUAUGGACAUAAAUGUCCAGGUGACAUUAACUUUGAUUUCUGGGUUAUACUUUUUACUUACCUUAUUUGGCCAUGAUGACUGUUAUUUUCUCCUGGGUUGCGUACAAGACUGACUUCUUUCUGGUAUGGACCAGUAGUGUGUUAAGCAUCAUCAAAGUUUUGGGAGAUCCUUCAGUGCGUUCAUUCAUCCUUGUCAAUUGUCAUGGUUGUUGUUUUGCAGCAACUAUUCCACGUCCAAAGCCUUCAAAAAAUGGCCAGCACGAUUUCCAAAUGCUUGCCUAUGUGGUGUACCUUUAAGACAACACGAUCAGUCAGGCCCUUAUCUUCAUGACACGCUCUUGUAGCUGGUCCUUUGUGGAGCGUCCUGGGUUCUUGCUAGCGUUUGCUUCUUGGUGGCGCAACUGGUGAGUCGUCUCAGCUCAAUCCAUUUUCAUGCCUUACCGCGAUGUUGUCGCCUUUCUGUGUCUCAUCUUGCUGCUCAUGCUUGUCAUGCUUGCAGAUUGCUACUCUGAUUACUGUAUACACCAACUGGGCAUUUGCUGCGAUCAAGGGCAUUAGAUGAGGCUGGGCCGACACAUCUGGUUGUACAAUAUCAUUUCCUACUUUCUGCUGGAUAUCAUCAAGUUCCUCAUCCGUUAUGUGCUGAGCAGGGGAGCGUGGAACCUCGUCCUUGAGUAGAGGGUAAGAACAUGCAUAAGAGAAUGGUUGUUGAGUCUUUGAAGGUUUAGUUUGGUAAUCAUCUGUUUUUGCUGGCAUGCACGUUCAGAUUGCAUUCACAAGCAAGAACUUCGGUGCCUAAGAAAGGGAAUGUAUGUGGGCACAUGCUCAGAGGAGGUCUCUGCACAGGCUCCAGCCACCAGAGGCAUCCAUCUUCGAGAACAAGACGACCUUCUUCUUAUCAAAUCAAAUUAGUUACUGCAUUACGUAAGUAUGUAGAGUGACAGGGAACAUUCACUGCAAUUAUGCGUUAACUGGUGUAUUUUUGUAUAGCCGAGUUGAUGUUCAAAGAAACUAAAAAUAUUCAAAAUAGGUGGUUGGAGAACUGAAGGACAAAAUAGAUUAAGGCUUUAGAGAAGAAUCCUCAUAAAUUGGCGGUUGGAGAACUGCAGGAUGGAUCUACACAUAAAUAGCACUAAUGGUUCCCGCAUCAACGCAUGUGGGCCACUGACAGAUUACUACAUUCCUGAUUACAUACUGAAGCCGGCCUCUAAACCAGUCACUGUGUAUAAUGUGCUAUGAUGCGCUGUGAUAGUGUUAAUCAACUCUAGAAGUGGUGGCCAACUGGGAACGGUCUGAUCAAAAAUAUGCAUUCCCUACACUAUACAUGUUUUUCUUUUUGCAGCUAAGGCUGCAAGAGAGGGAUACAAAAAUAAUUUCAUGUAUUAUCCAACAUCUUGCUCUUGCAUAUAACUACACCUUUACAUAUUGUCCAUGCGGCAAACAAAUAUAUUUUGUUGUUCAUAACCUUUUUCUCUCUAGCUCCUAGCCUAUAAUAGUUUUCUUACAGGUGUACUUUUGGAGUCUUCCAAGUUGUGCUGGGAACUAGGUACUAUCAUGACUUAUUCCUCCCAAAUCUUCUUUCCUUGGAUAGUUUGAUGAAUCGGUGAUUGAUAAGUUGUUGGUCUUAAUUAAUAACUAACAGUAAGAUACAAUAUCAAGAAACAAUACCUUUGUUCCAUGAUUUUUGAAUGAUGGGUAUUAAAGAACAUUAACUUUGGGACCUUUUCCAAGCAUACAGGAAAAGGAAGGAGCCUGAUGUAGAGAAGCAAAAGGAACCAAUUCUAGAGCAUGCCACAGUGUCACUUGCCAGUCAUUAUCACCUAAAAUUUACAACUCGCGAUGUGUUUCUUCCCUUUGAUUUAUUUGUAAGCAGGAAGCAUCUUUGUUGAAUACAACAAAUCAAGCUUGUGGGCUUUUCAAUGAAGCUGAGGUAGGUUACCUCUGGACAUCUAUUGUGCCAUGCUUCAUGGUUGAAAUUUCUUGUUUAUCUAUCUAUAAUGACAACUUUUUCCUUUUUGUGCUUGGUGGACAGAAAUGUUGCAUAGAUAUUAUGCAUUGAUUUUCGAUUUUGUGAAGUCCACUGCAUUUUCAAAUAAUGUAUCAUCUUCAUGAGUGGUGUUGGUUAUUAUGCUUUGGAAAAUAAAGAUGAUCUUUACAUGUUUUUA